AGCAUUUAAUGUUACAUAAUGGUAGCUAGCUAGCAAGCUAGCUUUUUUAUAAGGGUUAUUAGCUGCACCUUGUGCUGUUGUGCUCUUGUUUUUUAGUGUGGAAGAAUCUGUAAAGCUCAGGAGGGAUAGCGCCAUGGAUGGUCAUUCUUCAUCUCUCUUCUCUUUCCUUUGAUCUUCUCUUGCGCUAUCCAUCCUGAGUUUCAUGGCUUCUCUCCACACACACCAAUGGAACCUUCUUCUCCUUUCUCCCUUUGCUUUUUGUUGUUGGAUUUGUUCAUUCACCAUGCACCCCCACACAAGCAUGAUGAAGUGAGUGGAAGAAUAUGAAGGUGUUAAAGUCUUUCGGGUUUGGUUAAAGUUUUCUCCUUUGAAAUUUCAAAAGUUGAGUAGUCAGAAUUUGGUAUAUGUUAGUGUCUAACAUCAUAUCAUGAGUCACACAAAUAUAAGUUCAAGUAAUAAUAAACUCACAAGAUCAAAUGAAUGGUUCGUUCGUUAUCUUUACAAAACCGUUAACUAUUUUCUACCUUGCUUCUCCUUCUAACUUGUGUAAUCAAGAUGCUUAGAUCAUGAUAUCCAUGAUAAAUGUAUGGAUUUGUUUCUUCUUCCCCAUAAAAAGUAAAUAAGUCACGUAUAUGACCCAAUGAUCAAGCAUGAACUUUUUUGCCCUUAGUUUGUUAUGACGAUGUUAAAAACAAAAGAGGGUUCAUUUGAUUAUUGUCAAGAAGAGAGAUCUGUGAGUUCUCGCUUCCAUUCUUGGGUGGUUUUUGAGUUAAGAGGACUAUUAUUGCAUUGUGAAUUGUUGGUGGCCCUUGAACAUCAUCCUCAAACAUCGCAAGGAUAGAAGGAAGAUUGUGUAAAAAAAAGAUGAAAAAUAGAUAAAAUAUUAUAAGCGAAACCUAGGCACUAUCACGUGGAGUGGUAGACUAGAGAUGUUGACUAGUCCCAACUUCGUGUGUGUUACGGUCUAAGUUCAAAUUCCUAUGAUUUGGAUUGCCCAACGUUAAAGCUAAGGUUUGUGCAAUUCUAUUUGUCUGCCCCCACUACUUAGCUUUGUGAUGUAUAGUUUCCCUUUUGGAUUGAAGUGGGUUUCUAGAGUAGACAUUGCACAUGUGUAAUUUCGGAUUCACGUAUAAUAAUCAAACUUAGAGCAACAUAUGUUGUCAACUAUCGAGAACAAAAGCCACACCACACAAACACGAACACUUUUUAUUCGAUUCUUGUCAUUGGAAUUUGAAAGAGUUAAGGUAUGUAUGAUGUAUCUAUUGUUUAUUAGAGGAGAUUCAUAUAAGCUUUAGAAGGUGCACAAAAAGAGAAGUUUUAGAAGAAGAGAGAGAAAGAAGGUGGGAAAAUGAAAAAGUGGUAGGGAACAAGUUAUUAGAGAUGGUAUUCAUGCAAUUGCAAUUUAUGUCUCACAAAUUGAUAGACUCGAGUUAUUUGAGGGGACCACAUAUGAAUUUAUAGUACUUUAUAGUAAAGAAUAAAAUAUUCAUCUGGCCCUUGAUUUUGAUAUCACAUGGCAAUUAAUGUUUGACAUUGGAAAAAAAAUUAUGUAGUUCAAAAGUUCGUACCAUCAAUUAAUUACACUCAGAAUGUUACAAAAAAACAAAUGUCAUUAAUUCUUAGCUUUAAUAGCUAUUGGCUUGGUUAAU
rnacentral:sRNA from 1 species